ensembl:lncRNA
AGGGCCUUGCGCUUCCUAGGUAAGCGCUCUACCACUGAGCUAAAUCCCCAGCCCCCACAUAAAUCUUAAUUAAAAAAAAAAAUACCCUCUUAAUAAGAUGACCUUGAAUGUCUGGUCCUCCUGCCCUGUACAUCCUGAGAGCUGGGAUUACAGACGUAAACCAUCACCUGGUUUAUUCAGUGCUAAGUGAUGGACCCAAUUCCUGUGUAAUAGGCAAGUUGACUCCAUCAACUGAGGUUGUCACCAGCUUCAUAGAUUUUUGGGACAGUUGAGAAAUGGGGCAAAUAUUCAUUAGUCUAAGCUAAAAAGUACUCACUAGUAGAAGGGAAGAUUUAUGUGGCAAAAUGGUACGCAACCUAAUAGAGAUGAGUGUGUAGUUACAGGAGAGCAAGUGCUAAGCUCUAACAGCAAAUGGGUGAAGGAUGCAAAGCCCAGGUGGGCGCUGGGAAUCGGGAAGGUUUUCUGAGAAGUGUUCUUAGUAGAUCAGAGUGGUCUGGAAAGUACAGCUCGCAUCCUGUCGCCUGCUGCUGCUUUACAACAGUGAGUGCCGUCUUGCCCUUGGUGUCUUUCAGUGCUGAGGAUGGGAUGUGCUCUUGCACAUUUACAUCAGCAAAGCUGAAAAUACUUAAUCUUUUACUGAGAUGAAAUCUUUUACUAAAUGUAAAAGUGAGAGAACAAGAAAAGAAGGGAAUGGAGUUGGUGGUUUUUAAUUUUUAAUUUGGUGAAGCCAGUGAGGUGGUCUUGUAGGUAAAGGUGUUUGCCGCUGACCCUGGCCUGGGCUAGAUCCCCAGAAGCAUGAGGGUGGAGGGAGAAAACAGCUCCAUGAGGCCCCUGACGUACACACACACACACACACACACACACACACACACACACACACACACACACACACACGCAGGAACAGAGCUCUCUCCAGUAGAUUUGAAAAAUCACAACACUUUGUAUUGUCCAAAUAAAUCCAUAUCCAAUUUACAUUUCCCCAAGAAAAUGCUGUUUUAAAAAAGGAUUUAUGUGCAUUUAUUUGUGUGUGGGUCUGUGCUCAGGUGCAGGUGUCUGUGUGUGUGUCUGUGUGUGUCUGAGUAUCUGGGUGGGUCUCUCUCUGCACAGGUGUAGGUGUCUGGGUGUUGCUCUGUGCACAGCUGUAUGUGUGUGUGUGUCUGCACCGAUAAGGGUGUCUCCUGAAUAUUUUUCAUCUAGACCUGGAUUCCUCCCAAGACUGCAUUGUUAUUGCUUCUCCUUUACUCAUUUGGAUUUCUUGAGUAACCUUUGAGAUUUGGUCAGUUACCUUUAUUUCCAAUGCAACAUGAUCACAUGACAACUUGUGGAGUUGUGGGAUUGAACUGAAGUGACCAGGCAUAGUGGCAGUCACUUUUGCCCCAAGCCAUUCUACAAGCCUCAUACAAGCCCCCCCCCUUCUCCCCCCUUCCUCCCCCUUCUUUUUUUUCCCUUUUUUGACACAGUGUUUCUUUCGUGUGGCCCAGGCUGUCCUUGAAUCCCUUCUUCUGCUAUCAUUUUUACCCAGUUCUGGAGUGGCAGUGUGGCCCUUUGUACCACAGUUGUAAGUUUUUGUCUUUUGUUUAGGCAGGGUCUUGCUCUGAGUUGAGCCUGGCCUCUGCCUGUCUCAGUCUCCUUCAUGUGUGCAUGCGGCCAAACACGACUUCUGCUUCACAAAGCUGGGAUUGCUCUUGCAGCCGAGCUCUGUCCCUGGGUCCCCUUUAAAAGUUGUCUGGGCAGGCCUUGAACUUGUGAUCCAGCCCCCUGAGCCUCUGAGGGGGCCUGGCCCAGUAGCAUCCUUUAACUAGUUCUGUUUUAUUAAGCAAGAGUUUUAAUUGAGGUUAACAGGUUCUGAGAAUAGAAGGCAUCAGGGUGGUCUGGAAAGAUGACUCAGCCGUUGCUCUUCCAGAGGCCCUGAGUUCAAAUCCCAGCAACCACAUGGUGGCUCACAGCCAUCUGUAACGAGAUCCGAUGCCCUCUUCUGGUGUGUCUGAAGACAGCUACAAUGUACUCAUAUAUAAUAAAUAAAUCUUAAAAAAAAAAAGACAUCAGGAGAGAGCCUCAUUUUGGG